AUUGAACGCUGGCGGCAGGCCUAACACAUGCAAGUCGAGCGGAUGAGAGGAGCUUGCUUCUCGAUUCAGCGGCGGACGGGUGAGUAAUGCCUAGGAAUCUGCCUGAUAGUGGGGGACAACGUUUCGAAAGGAACGCUAAUACCGCAUACGUCCUACGGGAGAAAGCAGGGGACCUUCGGGCCUUGCGCUAUCAGAUGAGCCUAGGUCGGAUUAGCUAGUUGGUGAGGUAAUGGCUCACCAAGGCGACGAUCCGUAACUGGUCUGAGAGGAUGAUCAGUCAGACUGGAACUGUGACACGGUCCAGACUCCUACGGGAGGCAGCAGUGGGGAAUAUUGGACAAUGGGCGAAAGCCUGAUCCAGCCAUGCCGCGUGUGUGAAGAAGGUCUUCGGAUUGUAAAGCACUUUAAGUUGGGAGGAAGGGUUGUAGAUUAAUACUCUGCAAUUUUGACGUUACCGACAGAAUAAGCACCGGCUAACUCUGUGCCAGCAGCCGCAGUAAAAC
rnacentral:rRNA from 1 species